rnacentral:ncRNA from 1 species
CAUACACACUCUGGAGAGACCGACGCCCACUGUGGCGAACCGGCGCCGAAGGGGCACGAAGCGUAGAUUCCUCGUCGACCACCCGCGGGUGGCACGCUUCCAAACUCUCAGGCAAAAGGACAGAGGGGCGCCC